rnacentral:lncRNA from 1 species
UCGAAAGUUAAAUUUAGGUGAAAAUUGCAACAAAAAUAUAAAUUCAUAUAUUCUUUUUAGCUUAAUUGAAAGUUCAGGUAAAAAUUACUCCCUCCGUCCACGAAAAAUAUGGCACUUUUGCUAUUUUGAGUGUCCAUAAAAAAUAUGAUACUUUCCAUUUUAAGACAUGACCCCACCACUUUUUCUUAUCUUUUAUCCUUCCAAACACUUCUUAUUUUCAAAAAAAAACCAAUCUUAAUUCAAUUUCAACCACUCAUUUUAAAUUUUGGUGGAUCAUUUCUUCACUACAUAAAAAUUAUCACUAUUUUUAUUAAAAUUUAUGUCCAC